UUUUACCGCAUUUCUUAUUUAUUCAUCAACCUUUGGCAAACCCGGGAAACCUUCCCAAUCAGCACUGUUUUUAGGAACCGGUUGUUUUUCCGUCUUUGCGAAACACACAACUUUUGCUGCAACCGUGAACCUGUGUGAUCUCCGUCUCCCCCGCUGCACAACCCAGUCUGCUUGGAUUUGUGUUCUUGGACUUAAGUGGAUGGCCCCCGUUUCUAACCCGGCUUCCUGAGCGCCCUUUGCUUUUCCCUCUCCUUCUCCAGCCGCCUGUUGCUUCCCUCCCUCUGCUCUCCCAUUUUGCAGCUUUUCUUGAAAUCUGGCAAACGCCAGGAAGGGGAAUAACUUGCAUGCAUCUUCAUUGAAAUCAAUCAAGUGUAAGUUUCUUUCUUCAAGGGAGGGAUAUUAACUCGCUCCCUCCUUCCCCGGCUCCUCGAAGGGGGCGGGGGGCGGGUUCGUGCAGUUUCUUGGAGAUGAGGUAAUGAGUUCCAGAUUGCAGGACAGAGUAGGGUGCGCGUUACAAACCACAAGGUUAGUCUGCAUCCCGAUGUGAAGCUAUUUCGGUUUGGUUUUGUUUUUUUAUCCCCCCCAGCCCCUCCCCCCAAAGGGUCUAGGUCUGGAGGGUUCUGGAAGCAGUGCUGGGGGUACAGGAUGAGCUGGAGAUCCGAGGGGUGAGGGGGACGCGCGGGGCGGAUGUCCCCGCCCAGGGCCAGGCCGCCCCGCUGCUCCCCUCUCUGGGGGGCGCUCUUCCCCCGCGGCCGCGGGACGGGCCUCGGCGCCCCCCGGCCAGUGAAAACGUUUUUCUCCCCCAAAGAGAACGCGAUUCCUCGAAUUUCCUCCGCAUCUCCAGCUCCCGGAGGGCGGGCGCGCCCCUCCCUCCCCCGCUCCCGGAGGGGGCGCGGGCUCCGCGGGGCGGCGGCCGGCCUGGCCCGCUUGCCUCGGAGUUGUUUACCGGCCCGGCCGACCGACCGGGUUGGUUCCAGCUCCCAGAGCCUGCCUCUAUAAUUAAACCCUUUUUUUUUUUUUUAAUUGUCGGGUUGAAACGUCAUUUCGGGGACUUUCCAAGGGUGAGGGAGCAGAGGGGAGGGAGCGAGCCUCCUUAACCCUUCCCUGACCCGGCCGUCCACGCCGCGGCGGGCUGGGGCGCAGCGUCUGGCACGGCCGUGGGGGGGGGGGGGGGGGAUCUGGGGACCUGGGCCGGCCAGUCCCGCGGAGAGGUGCUCCGCAGGUGCCCCAAGGUGCGGGGACCGGCAGUGAGCCCCCACCCGGCAGGAAGCGCGGCGGGAGGCGUGCGCGGCCCUCCCCGCUCCGGCCCGGCGGGGCGCCCCGGUUCCUGCCCCGCGCGGUGCGCAGAGGCCGCCCCUUCACCUGCCCCGCCGCUUCCGACUGGGAGGCGCCCGCCUGGCCCUCCCGCCCGGCUUCCGGGUCCUCCCUGCUCGCGGGAAGCCGGUCUCCGCCAGGGGAGGGCCUGGCCAGGUAGUUUUGGCUUGGGGGUACUAGGUUCUGUCAAAGGGGGGAAAGUGAAAGUCUUCGGAAUUGGGGAAACCCGACGGAUCUAUGCAGUGACCAGUCUGGACGCUGGGCGCACCUCGAGGCAGGGCAGCAGGAGCUGGGAGAAAGCUGAAGCAGACCAAGGCAAAAUCGAGACGCAAAGGCAGUGAGGAUGCUAGUGAAUCGGGUUAGCGUCUGGUUGUGGCGUGCUCGGGCCUUCCACCGUGGACAGGGCAGGGUCCUACAGGACACGGGUCCGAGCCUCCCUCGCCACCGAAAACUGCUCCUCCAACGUUCAGCCCAGGGGAUGCCACUCGGGCUGAACUCUGCUCGACUGGGACCAAGGAAGCGGGGCCUGUGCCAGCCUUUCUCCCUCUAAGAAUUCUGAAGUCACUUGACCCUGAUUCUGUAAGUCACAUGCUCCUUCUAUCAAAAAAUGGUGACAAAAUAGGCAGAAGGGACACUGUCUAGGUUGUGGCCUCAGGUACUCAACCCCGUUUCUUCCCAUCCCUCCUAACCUUCAAACGUGUCUCGGUCAUAGACUAUAUGACUCAAGCUAUUAUUUAACCAUGAAAAGAAAAAAAGAAAGAAAAAAAAAAGACAAACCAGGAAAUUAGAGGCUGAAUGACCUAAAAUUUAUUCCAUUCAACUGAGCUAAUCUCCUCACAAGGGUGUGUAU